AUUGAACGCUGGCGGCAUGCCUUACACAUGCAAGUCGAACGGCAGCACGGGUGCUUGCACCUGGUGGCGAGUGGCGAACGGGUGAGUAAAGUAUCGGAACGUGCCUGGUAGUGGGGGAUAACUAGUCGAAAGACUAGCUAAUACCGCAUACGAUCUAAGGAUGAAAGCAGGGGACCUUCGGGCCUUGUGCUAUCAGAGCGGCCGAUAUCUGAUUAGCUAGUUGGUGGGGUAAAAGCCCACCAAGGCGACGAUCAGUAGCUGGUCUGAGAGGACGACCAGCCACACUGGAACUGAGACACGGGACAGACUCCUACGGGAGGCAGCAGUGGGGAAUGUUGGACAAUGGGGGCAACCCUGAUCCAGCAAUGCCGCGUGAGUGAAGAAGGCCCGCGGGUUGUAAAGCUCUUUUGUCAGGGAAGAAAAGGCUGUGGCUAAUAUCCACAGCUGCUGACGGUACCUGAAGAAUAAGCACCGGCUAACUACGUGCCAGCAGCCGCCGUAACAC
rnacentral:rRNA from 1 species